GCCCUCGUGGAUCAUGGUAGAUCAUCUUCAUCCCAUAACAGAGGAUUAACAUCUCGGAAGAUGUCGUAGGUUCGAAUCCUACCGAGGGCA